rnacentral:rRNA from 1 species
UACGUAGGGUGCGAGCGUUGUCCGGAAUUAUUGGGCGUAAAGCGCGUGUAGGCGGGACGGCACGUCGGUCGCUGAAAGCCCCCGGCUCAACCGGGGAACGGGCGCCGAUACGACCGGCCUGGAGGGACGUAGGGGGACCUGGAACUUCCGGUGGAGCGGUGAAAUGCGUAGAGAUCGGAAAGAACACCAACGGCGAAAGCACUCUGCUGGGCCGACACUGACACUGAGGAGCGAAAGCGUGGGGAGCGAACAGG